rnacentral:rRNA from 1 species
AUUGAACGCUGGCGGCAGGCCUAACACAUGCAAGUCGAACGGUAACAGGAAGCAGCUUGCUGCUUCGCUGACGAGUGGCGGACGGGUGAGUAAUGUCUGGGAAACUGCCUGAUGGAGGGGGAUAACUACUGGAAACGGUAGCUAAUACCGCAUAACGUCGCAAGACCAAAGAGGGGGACCUUCGGGCCUCUUGCCAUCGGAUGUGCCCAGAUGGGAUUAGCUAGUAGGUGGGGUAACGGCUCCCCUAGGCGACGAUCCCUAGCUGGGCUGAGGGGUUGACCAUCCACACUGGAACUGAGACACGGUCCAGACUCCUACGGGAGGCAGCAGUGGGGAAUAUUGCACAAUGGGCGCAAGCCUGAUGCAGCCAUGCGGCGUGUAUGAAGAAGGCCUUCGGGUUGUAAAGUACUUUCAGCGGGGAGGAAGGCGAUAAGGUUAAUAACCUUGUCGAUUGACGUUACCCGCAGAAGAAGCACCGGCUAACUCCGUGCCAGCCGCCGCAGUAA